UACGUAGGGGGCAAGCGUUGUCCGGAAUCAUUGGGCGUAAAGAGCGUGUAGGCGGCCCGGUAAGUCCGUUGUAAAAGUCGAAGGCUCAACCUUCGAAAGCCGAUGGAUACUGCCGGGCUAGAGUCCGGAAGAGGCGAGUGGAAUUCCUGGUGUAGCGGUGGAAUGCGCAGAUAUCAGGAGGAACACCCAUAGCGAAGGCAGCUCGCUGGGACGGUACUGACGCUGAGGCGCGAAAGCGUGGGGAGCGAACAGG
rnacentral:rRNA from 1 species